ACGAGACUAGAAAGUAGCAAUACUUGGUGGCGACCGGCGCACGGGUGAGUAACGCGUAUGCAACCUACCUAUCAGAGGGGAAUAACCCGGCGAAAGUCGGACUAAUACCGCAUAAAACAGGGGCACCGCAUGGUGAUAUUUGUUAAAGAAAUUCGCUGAUAGAUGGGCAUGCGUUCCAUUAGGUAGUUGGUGAGGUAACGGCUCACCAAGCCGACGAUGGAUAGGGAACUGAGAGGUUGGUCCCCCACACUGGUACUGAGACACGGACCAGACUCCUACGGGAGGCAGCAGUGAGGAAUAUUGGUCAAUGGGCGGGAGCCUGAACCAGCCAAGUCGCGUGAAGGAAGAAGGAUCUAUGGUUCGUAAACUUCUUUUGCAGGGGAAUAAAGUGCAGGACGUGUCCUGUUUUGUAUGUACCCUGAGAAUAAGGAUCGGCUAACUCCGUGCCAGCCGCCGC
rnacentral:rRNA from 1 species